rnacentral:rRNA from 1 species
ACGGGAGGCAGCAGUGGGGAAUAUUGGACAAUGGGCGAAAGCCUGAUCUAGCGACGCCGCGUGAGUGAAGAAGUAUUUCGGUAUGUAAAGCUCUAUCAGCAGGGAAGAUAAUGACGGUACCUGACUAAGAAGCACCGGCUAAAUACGUGCCAGCAGCCGCGGUAAUACGUAUGGUGCAAGCGUUAUCCGGAUUUACUGGGUGUAAAGGGAGCGCAGGCGGUACGGCAAGUCUGAUGUGAAAGCCCGGGGCUCAACCCCGGUACUGCAUUGGAAACUGUCGAACUAGAGUGUCGGAGGGGUAAGCGGAAUUCCUAGUGUAGCGGUGAAAUGCGUAGAUAUUAGGAGGAACACCAGUGGCGAAGGCGGCUCACUGGACGAUAACUGACGCUGAGGCUCGAAAGCGUGGGGAGCAAACAGGAUUAGAUACCCUGGUA